rnacentral:rRNA from 1 species
CAGGCUUAACACAUGCAAGUCGAGGGGCAGCAUGGUCUUAGCUUGCUAAGGCCGAUGGCGACCGGCGCACGGGUGAGUAACACGUAUCCAACCUGCCGUCUACUCUUGGACAGCCUUCUGAAAGGAAGAUUAAUACAAGAUGGCAUCAUGAGUCCGCAUGUUCACAUGAUUAAAGGUAUUCCGGUAGACGAUGGGGAUGCGUUCCAUUAGAUAGUAGGCGGGGUAACGGCCCACCUAGUCUUCGAUGGAUAGGGGUUCUGAGAGGAAGGUCCCCCACAUUGGAACUGAGACACGGUCCAAACUCCUACGGGAGGCAGCAGUGAGGAAUAUUGGUCAAUGGGCGAGAGCCUGAACCAGCCAAGUAGCGUGAAGGAUGACUGCCCUAUGGGUUGUAAACUUCUUUUAUAAAGGAAUAAAGUCGGGUAUGCAUACCCGUUUGCAUGUACUUUAUGAAUAAGGAUCGGCUAACUCCGUGCCAGCAGCCGCGGUAAUACGGAGGAUCCGAGCGUUAUCCGGAUUUAUUGGGUUUAAAGGGAGCGUAGAUGGAUGUUUAAGUCAGUUGUGAAAGUUUGCGGCUCAACCGUAAAAUUGCAGUUGAUACUGGAUAUCUUGAGUGCAGUUGAGGCAGGCGGAAUUCGUGGUGUAGCGGUGAAAUGCUUAGAUAUCACGAAGAACUCCGAUUGCGAAGGCAGCCUGCUAAGCUGCAACUGACAUUGAGGCUCGAAAGUGUGGGUAUCAAACAGGAUUAGAUACCCUGGUAGUCCACACGGUAAACGAUGAAUACUCGCUGUUUGCGAUAUACUGCAAGCGGCCAAGCGAAAGCGUUAAGUAUUCCACCUGGGGAGUACGCCGGCAACGGUGAAACUCAAAGGAAUUGACGGGGGCCCGCACAAGCGGAGGAACAUGUGGUUUAAUUCGAUGAUACGCGAGGAACCUUACCCGGGCUUAAAUUGCAGAUGAAUUACGGUGAAAGCCGUAAGCCGCAAGGCAUCUGUGAAGGUGCUGCAUGGUUGUCGUCAGCUCGUGCCGUGAGGUGUCGGCUUAAGUGCCAUAACGAGCGCAACCCUUGUUGUCAGUUACUAACAGGUUCCGCUGAGGACUCUGACAAGACUGCCAUCGUAAGAUGUGAGGAAGGUGGGGAUGACGUCAAAUCAGCACGGCCCUUACGUCCGGGGCUACACACGUGUUACAAUGGGGGGUACAGAGGGCCGCUACCACGCGAGUGGAUGCCAAUCCCCAAAACCUCUCUCAGUUCGGACUGGAGUCUGCAACCCGACUCCACGAAGCUGGACUCGCUAGUAAUCGCGCAUCAGCCACGGCGCGGUGAAUACGUUCCCGGGCCUUGUACACACCGCCCGUCAAGCCAUGGGAGCCGGGGGUACCUGAAGUGCGUAACCGCGAGGAGCGCCCUAGGGUAAAACUGGUGACUGGGGCUAAGUC